UAAAAAAGAACAAAUGCUUUUACCUCGUUGCACUGCUGAGAGCAAGAUGGGUCAUCAGCAGCUGUACUGGAGCCACCCGCGUAAAUUCGGCCAGGGUUCUCGCUCUUGUCGCGUCUGUUCAAACCGGCACGGUCUGAUCCGGAAAUAUGGCCUCAAUAUGUGCCGCCAGUGUUUCCGUCAGUACGCGAAGGAUAUCGGUUUCAUUAAGUUGGACUAAACGAUCUUCCUUCAAAGGAUUAUCCAAGGCAUCUACUCAAUGAAAAAGCAUGAUAGUUCUUUGUACAUAAAAUAAACAUUUAAAAAAAAAA